UAAGUGGCUCCCUGGAAGUCCUACGGUCCCAGCAACGGGCCGGCCAAUGGGAAGUGAGCCGGCUGAUGUCACUGGCAGCACUCCGCCAAUCAGCGCCCGGUCCCGAAAGUCUGCUGUACCAGAGGAGGAUGACAGAGAACAAUACUACUCAGCAGAUGCCAAUGAGGAUACAGUCUGUGAGCUGAUUUCAUCUGCUUCUCCGGUUUCUGAAGAUGCAGUAUCUCAGAAUGCCAGCAGUCAGUGAAGUUCUGCAGUUUUUAAAGCAUUUCUUUGUCAAGAAGUAAACUUGUUCUUUGAAGUAAACUUCUAGAUGAACUCUGCUACUUCCACAAUAUUGUUGCUGAUAAGCCAGGAUUAGCAGUGCUGAAGAGGAAUAAAAUAUAAUUGAUGUGAACUUAAAGGAUUUUCCCUCAGACUGUGCAUGAGAUGGAAUUGCUCUGGGGAUGAAUAAGAGGUGUGCAGCAAUAGAAGCAUUUGUCUGCAGGAGUCAGAUUUCGUUUCUUUCUGGAGUCUGAAAAAGCUGAUUGGUACUUAACAACACUUUUUGUGGGGAAAAAUGCAUUUGGGGUUUGAUGUGGCUUUUAAAAAUUUUCUUCUUGAAUUGGUAUUAGAAUUAUGGGGUUUGUUUUGCUUCCUUGAUGCCUGAUGCAUAAACUAAUUAUGACAAGACCCUACCAGUCCUGUGCUAUUAGGUGAAGCCUCCCUUCCCCUGCCUGGCACACAAGGAGGCAGAGAAGUCUAGAGGGGAGGCAGAUGGCAGCAUGCACAGACAGGGAGGAAAAUGGUCUGAUUUUGGGUGAGCUCUUGAAGAAGGACUCUUUAUGCUUCUGCAGUUUUUCUACAUCCUAAAUAAUGUAUAGUUUUCCAAAAGGGACAUUUUCUGUCACAAAAUACUUCCUCUGGAAAGUUUCCAGUAAGGGGUUCUGAUUGACACAGGAGAUUCCAGGAAAAAAAAAA